rnacentral:rRNA from 1 species
UUAGCGGCGGACGGGUGAGUAACACGUGGAUAACCUACCUAUAAGACUGGGAUAACUUCGGGAAACCGGAGCUAAUACCGGAUAAUAUUUUGAACCGCAUGGUUCAAAAGUGAAAGACGGUCUUGCUGUCACUUAUAGAUGGAUCCGCGCUGCAUUAGCUAGUUGGUAAGGUAACGGCUUACCAAGGCAACGAUGCAUAGCCGACCUGAGAGGGUGAUCGGCCACACUGGAACUGAGACACGGUCCAGACUCCUACGGGAGGCAGCAG